ACGAAGGGGGCUAGCGUUGUUCGGAAUCACUGGGCGUAAAGCGCACGUAGGCGGAUUUGCCAGUCAGGGGUGAAAUCCCGGGGCUCAACCUCGGAACUGCCUUUGAUACAGCAAGUCUAGAGUCCGGAAGAGGUGAGUGGAAUUCCUAGUGUAGAGGUGAAAUUCGUAGAUAUUAGGAGGAACACCAGUGGCGAAGGCGGCUCACUGGUCCGGCACUGACGCUGAGGUGCGAAAGCGUGGGGAGCAAACAGGA
rnacentral:rRNA from 1 species